UUGGAGGGCAAGUCUGGUGCCAGCAGCCGCGGUAAUUCCAGCUCCAAUAGCGUAUAUUAAAGUUGUUGCAGUUAAAAAGCUCGUAGUUGAACUUCGGGGUCUACCCAUUGGUCAGGCUUAAUUGUCUGCACUGGUGAGAUGGAUCUCUACCUUCUGAGGAACUUUCAUGCCAUUUAUUUGGUGUGAUGGGAAAUCAGGACUGUUACUUUGAAAAAAUUAGAGUGUUUAAAGCAGACUAUCGUCUGAAUACAUUAGCAUGGAAUAAUGAAAUAGGACGGACUGAUUCUAUUUCGUUGGUUUCUAGGAUCACCGUAAUGAUUAAUAGGGAUAGUUGGGGGCAUUAGUAUUCAAUUGUCAGAGGUGAAAUUCUUGGAUUUAUUGAAGACUAACUACUGCGAAAGCAUUUGCCAAGGAUGUUUUCAUUAAUCAAGAACGAAAGUUAGGGGAUCGAAGACGAUCAGAUACCGUCGUAGUCUAAACCAUAAACUAUGCCGACUAGGGAUCGGACGAAGUUAAUUUUAUAAUGACGCGUUCGGCGCCUUA
rnacentral:rRNA from 1 species